GAGUGGCUGGGGAGGGGGGCCGGAGGCCGGAGAGGAAGGGAGCCGCAGCUUCGCUCUGUGCGGGGAGUCGGAGCUCCAGUCUCCUGGCGGAGGGGUGCCUCCGCCGCUCACCGCCCCGCGGGCCAGCGCAGAGCGGGCCUUAGGGGGAUCGGGGAAGCCCUCUCUCCCUGGGGUAUUUCCCACACCAUCAGCCCUCGGCUCGAGGUUGAACUUGGCCCUGGUCUGCCGCCCGUUGAAAAUAGAAAAUUCAGGAAACCGAGGGCUAGAGGACGGACUGGGGAAGACGCACAGGUGGAGCGCAGGCCUCCCGGAUUCUAGUACAUGCUGACGCAGCCUAACGCACGGUUCCAGUGGAAACGGAGGAACCAGACAAGAGUGCCCUUUGGAAUUCCACAUCCCAAAGAAACGCCUCUAGGACUCCUCCCCACGGGUGUCCCAAGGCUCUUCAGAUGCAUCGCUUACAAAGCUGAAAACCCAGACAUGUCAAUGACCAGCCUCAGCCAUGUAGAUCACGACAAGUCUGGAAGGGGAGGAGAGAGUGGAGCCAUAAGAUGGAAGGGACUUGGGUCCCUGAAUGACCGCAUGGAACAGAACUGCCCACCAGCCUGGAACACUCACCCUGAGAUGUUAAGGGAGAAAGAAAUAAACUUAAAAAAACUCUCUUAAAGAAAGAGAGAAAUGAGUUGAGAGCUGGCUAUUUUGAAAAUAGAGGUAGAAGGGAAGAGGGAGACACCAUAUACUGAAGGCUUCACAAUGUUGGAAAAGCAAACACUUUUGGGCCAAACUAUAGAAAUAAGAUUGUUGCAAAAAGCAUUUUUCAAAAGUCCUUUGAGAUUUAUCAGCCAAACAAAGAUGGCCUCAAGUGAGACACAACAGGUACAACAAGGAAUCCAGGAAAUAAAGCAGCUAUGGGAGAACCAUAUUCAGAAAAGAACUUUGGUAGUGGUUCCUGAACACAAAACUGACUAGAAGGAAAUGGACCAGAAACUGACCAGGUGUUUGAGGGAAUUACAUUGUGGUAGAAGCCAGAAGUCCGGCUCCCAAAAGCCUGUGAGUAAUCGAGACCCACAAUAACUCUGGGCCCUUCUAACUUGCACUAGCAGAAAACUUGGAAAGCUCUAUGGCCCUAAAGGAGGACACACUUCCCAACACCUAACUUGAAAUGUGGCUGAGAGGGAAAUGGGCAGGGAAUGGAAGGCAAGGCUGGGACCGUGGAGGACAGCAGGCAAGGUGCUGGACCCAAAGAACAGAACUAAGGUAGGUAGUUAAGCUUUCUCAUUCCACUGCGAGGGUGGAUAGCCCGAGGAUCCU